rnacentral:rRNA from 1 species
GACGAACGCUGGCGGCGUGCCUAAUACAUGCAAGUUGAGCGCUGAAGGCUGGUACUUGUACCAACUGGAUGAGCAGCGAACGGGUGAGUAACGCGUGGGGAAUCUGCCUUUGAGCGGGGGACAACAUUUGGAAACGAAUGCUAAUACCGCAUAAAAACUUUAAACACAAGUUUUAAGUUUGAAAGAUGCAAUUGCAUCACUCAAAGAUGAUCCCGCGUUGUAUUAGCUAGUUGGUGAGGUAAAGGCUCACCAAGGCGAUGAUACAUAGCCGACCUGAGAGGGUGAUCGGCCACAUUGGGACUGAGACACGGCCCAAACUCCUACGGGAGGCAGCAGUAGGGAAUCUUCGGCAAUGGACGAAAGUCUGACCGAGCAACGCCGCGUGAGUGAAGAAGGUUUUCGGAUCGUAAAACUCUGUUGGUAGAGAAGAAAGUUGGUGAGAGUGGAAAGCUCAUCAAGUGACGGUAACUACCCAGAAAGGGACGGCUAACUACGUG